GUCUAUGGCCAUGUCACCCUGAACGUGCCAGAUCUCAUCUGAUCUCAGGAGUUAAACAGGGUCAGGCCUGGUUAGUACUUGGAUAGGAGACCACCUAGGAAUACCAGAUGCUAUAGACG
rnacentral:rRNA from 1 species